CAUUUAAAGAGACAAAACAAUUUUGUUCUCUACCUAAUUUGGGCCAAUAUGCAAUAACCACAACUUUUGGGCUAUCUUGCAAUUAACCUCAACUUUUGGGCUAUAUUGCAAAAACAAAAACUUUUGGGGUCACUUUGUAAAAUCACAAAAGUCCACUACUUCAUGAAAUUACAACUAGAACCCAAAAUUUUAAUAAUGCAAAAACAUCAUUAAAGGAGCAAAACAAUUUAUCCUUUAGCGUUUUUGGAUCUAAACGUAAAAACGUAAACUUUAGGCCAAAGUGCAAAUACACAAAAGUAUCAAAACUUUAUGUAAUUGCAUAAAAGGCCCCAAAAGUACCCCCACUAGGGGGUGGCCGGCUUUGGAAGAGGAUAGAGUGAUGUGUGUGUUGAUUUGUGAGUUUUAGACAUAAAGCAACAAGUGGUGCAAGUGGUGUGUGUGAAAGGGAAUUAAUCCUUACACACCCAUCACCAUUUCCAUCACCAUUCAAAUAAAUAUCUUAUGCAAUAAAUCAUUUGAAAAACAUAAAACAUAAACUUUAUGAAAUAAAUCAAAACUUUGAAUCAAAACACAAACCUUUUUGUUCUUGGCUAAAAUGUCAAGAACAAUGAAGAACACUCAUGAAAAACCCAAAAUUUUUCCAUGAACAUUUUUCACCCAAAAACAUUCCAAAAACAUUCAAACUUAAGGGAAAUAACAUCUAACCAAACUAGGGUACAUAGGGGUUCCAAAAGUCACUUGAAAACACUUUUAACAAGUCAAACAAGAACCCAAAAAUCCACCCUUUGUAUUUGGCCGAAAAUCCCCAAAGUCAUGGCACCAAAUUUUAGCUCCAAUAUUCAUGCUCAUAUGAACUACAUCUACAACAUUUGAGAUGGCAAAUUUUCAAACAAAAUUUACAUUCAAAGAAGCAAGAAUAAAGCUUGUAACAAUUACAACUUUUAAAUCACAAACUAUGAACUACAAAACACAAAAGGAUUCACCAACUACUAGACCUAGGCUCUGAUACCACUUGUAGGAAGAUUUUGUGAAAACAUGUUCAUUUAAGCAACAUCAAUAAGCAUGCAAUUAACAAUUAAAGGUGGAAUCAUGCUUGCAUGCACUUAAAAACAAAACAUUAACCAUGAAAUUCAAAGCCUAGUAGAUUGGUGAACCAUUAAUCAACUCAAAUCAAAGUGAGUUGAGAAAUAUACCUUUGUAGAUUCCUCUUUGCAUAAGCAAAGGCUAAUCACCCAAAGAGAGGGCCUUCAUUCCUUGCAUAUUAAAUCUAUAGAUUUGGAUGGAAGAAUAGGAUUCUCCAAGUUCCCAAAAUAGAGAACCUCUAAGUCUCUUCACCAAGGAGAGAUUGGAGAAGAAAUGAGUGACCUUGGAGUAGUGGUAUUGCUAGAUGCACCCUCCAAGGGGACCGACCUCUUUAGAGAGAAAUGGAGAGACAUGUUCUCUCCAAUUUUCUCCAAAACAAACCCUUAAUGAAUUUUGGUUAUAAAGUCAUAUUUAUACCUUUAUUCAUUUGAGUGGCAAACUUGUAAAUAAGUCCAAGUUCACUACCCUUAACCAUAUGGCCGGCCUUAGGGUGUUGUUUGGGCUUUUAGGCUUUUGUGAAUUAAGUUGUCAUACAACUUAAGUCAAUGGGCUUGACGUUCGAAGCCCAAUGGGCCUAAACGUCCAAAACUAUCCCGAGGUCUUUAACGAACUUAUUCGUUUGAUUAAUUAACAUAUUAAUUAAUCCUUGCCAUAAAUAAUUAAACCAUUUAAUUAUUCUUACUCAUCUCCAUUAU
rnacentral:lncRNA from 1 species